rnacentral:lncRNA from 1 species
UUGGUUGUGGUGUGUCAUGUGGCGUGACUGACCAAUUGAACGCAUGUUGAACACAAAUGAGUGUAAAUACACAACAAAAACACAGAUCAAGAGGAGACUGAGAUCGAAGAACAAGAGAGUGCAGUCCACUUAAGUCAGUUAGGCGAAUGGACAUCACUGUCGGUUUAACUGUCAGCUGGUCUCAGUAUAUUAUUUCUCUACAUUGUCGUCAACAGACAUUUGUUUGCUAUUUUUCUAGUAAUUUCCCGUGAAAUGUAAUCCAGGCACUUUACGAUGGACGCGCUCGUAGCAGACGAACCUCAGCGUCAGUGUCGCAGGCUAUUUUUAUCCUGCUGUAGAGGGAUAGGGCAGAUAAAGAUCAGCUGACGUUUGUUGUGUUUGACGUCACCAGUCGUCUGCUCAGCGCUGUUUCUAACGUACUUGUGUGGCUGUUGGCUGUCCAUUGCCUCUUCUAUCCUUGUGCGCAUGUUUCUUGUGGAGCAAAGCUUGGAGAUGAAAGUGUCCGAUGGUGUCGGCGCUGGCUAUUAUUUCAGCCCCAGCCAAAUGUUGUUGUCAACCUCGGAGUUCAGCGUGUCCUGGUCAGUCGUCUGUCAGCAGCAGGCUGUGGCGGACGUGCCAGGCGGUGCCACUGUUGGACAAGAUCCAUCACUAAGCCGUUUGGUCACACCAAUGUAAGUGGAAUGCAGUGAACACAUGAACUACUUGAAUACAGCGACACCACAGACUAGCGGACCUCAAGUGACGACAGACUUGAUCCAACUGGCAUUAAAGGGCUAGAGGAAGGAAAGAACAAGUCUUUUCAUUUGUUGAUGUCCAUAAAGAUUGGAACUUUCAGGCAUUAGGAUUGUGAGUAUAGUAAGAUGAUAAAUUAUUUGUAUGUUGGUCAGCAAGUUUUUUAGAGUUGAAAAGAUAAUGAAAUUACAAAGUAUGCAGAGCCUUUCAUUUCUAGAGUUUCAUUUUGUCUACAUGUUUCUUGUCUACAUGUACUGGACUGUAGGUUUGCUUUGCAAUCCUUUCGUGUGUUAUGCAUUAAGCAAACAUUUACACAUGUACAAUUAAGCGCCUUACAAAUUCAGUUAUCAAAAUUUUAUAUAUAAGUUUACUUUAUUUUCCAUUGGAGUCUGAAAUGAAGUUGCUGUCGAUAAUUACAACUACUUUUGGAAAUUCACAGGCCCGAUGUGUCUGCAUCUCUUUGUCUUUUCAGCACAACCUUGAUCCGGCAAUGAAAUUCCGUUAGGUGCUCGCUGAUGCGAAACAUCGGUGACUCUCGCCACAGUACGACUAACAGUCGAUUUGUCUACAUCAGUGAAUUCUCCACACACUUCUUGAAAGUUUGAUAUGAAAUAAUAUCGUAAAGUGAUGAGGACUUGAAGUAGAGAUGUCAGUGUGCCUUGCCGACUGGUGACAGCGAUCUCGCAUGACACUUCAGCGGUCAGCGCUAGAACGUGCUCUCGUCUAAAAUAAAUUUUACAAUACAGUUUUAAGUCAUCCAACACUUCAAACGGGUGCGAUCUGUCACCAACACACCCGAUUUCGUCUCGACAAUCGACGUUGUUGCCAGUGAACACUGUGAAGGCCGCCGAUAACUUUACACGCGAGCCGCCAGACCGGACAGCUUCUCCAGGCUCCGUGCAUACGAAUUUUUCGCUGUUAUCCACCCUGAGCAGGCUACACCCGUUUAAACCCCUUCUCCGGUCUACAUGCAUACGGGGCUUGGUCUACAGUCCAUCGCCGCUCUCCCUCCUUGAGCGACCCGACACCGACCGUCCUUUUCCUCUGAUGGACAGAAGGAUAGGCCGCCAUUGAACUACCGGAUCUACUCUGCGCUUGUCCGUCCGGCUGCGUGUCUGCUCGACUUGCGGGAAAGCAAGAGUGCGACACCAACACUAGAGCACUAUACUAGUUAUCACAUGACAGUGACAACUCAAGAAGGGGAAUAACCCACGUUCCUAACAAGACACUAAACCGCUAGUUAAAUUGGCGCACCACCAGCGUAUAAAGUUAGAGCUCAGAAAUCAAAGUAUUAUUUAUUACAAAAAAGUUUGCUUGUGCAAAGUACAUGCAAUAUACAAAAGUCUGUGAGUAAGCAAAGCAUUGUGUUUGAUUGUGACAGUAAGUAGGGAGACAUCCUGGCUGUUUUUCAGAAUCUGCUUCAUUCGGCGAACAGCUUACAUUGAGUUUCCUGCAGACGACAGACGAUGCUCCCUACAGACUGGGUCCUGUUGAGGGCAGACGACUGUUACCUGUCUGCUUACCUGUUGUGAGAGAGGAAAGUCGCUGUAGCUGCUGAAGAGAAUGGGCAACACAAAAAGAAGGCGGCUGUUGGUACAGGAGCUUUAGGCAAAGUCGAAGUUUACCUGCACCACGUGACUG